ACGCAUUGUAAGAAAAAAAAGUAAAUUAACUAAUUACGGGUACUAUAGUAUUUUAGAGUGACAUUGUUGGCAAUGCAGCCAUAAUUCUAUCCACACAGUUGCAGAAAGAAAUUUAAAAUUAAACUUUAAUUAACUGACGCAAUUCUUGCAUAUUUAUAAUAGUAGCGUAAUAGAUGAAAUUUAUAAGUUUUCCUCAAAAAGGGUUUAGAAGAGUCAAAGAAGAACGGAAUCAUAUCGUUCUGAUGCUAAGCUCAAUGAUCUGAGAAAAAAUGAGUAUAUAUGAUUGCAGAGAAGCAGAGUGGGUAAACCAAUAUAGAGAAAAUGAGCAGGAUCACAGCCAUGAUCUUUGAAGUGUUCCAAGGGGAAUCUGAAAAUAACUUGAGAUGUAGAACAGCCGGAAGGAAGUAACAUACAGUAUUUGAGCAAAAUAGUCCAACAAAUUCGUAUGUGAGGCCAAGGUCAGAAACGAAAUAUGUAACAGUUGUACAGAUAAAAAGGAAAAUAAAGGUGAGAGUUCUAAGUAAGUGACGAUCUUUUGUUGAUGAUCCUUCUGCAUCUUCUCCACUUUUAAUAAUAACGGCAAGGGACUUUCUGAAUGAAUGACAAGAUACCGGGAAUGAAAAUACAAGCGAUGAUACUAAUACAAUUUUAGCAAUAACAACAGUUAGUGAUUGAGUACCAAACAUACUGAGGAUAUCAGAGGACUUGAGAGUGUUUCCAAACAGCAUAUAUCCUGAAGAACCCAUAAGGAUGUAAAUUAAAGUACAAAAUCCAAGUGAAACAACUGAAGAGAAAACCAAUUUGUAUAACGUCUUGUCUGCAAGCUCAUUUGCAACGUUGAGGAAGUUGUGGUGGCAUGUGAAAGAAAACACAAAUAUUGGGAAUGUCUGGAGCAUAAAAAUUGGUCUCCUAGUUGAGAUAAGUUCAACCUUCUCAAGCAUUGUUGUAAGUUCUGGAAGGCCAACAAGGAAGCUGAAUAUUACAACUGCUGCAACAUAGAGGGAUGAAAAUACAGCAAUCCAAUUAAUGAUAGUAAGCUCGGCAAGAGAUGUAGGAUAACUGGCUGGACCGAUAAUAAAAAUCACAACAAAUAACAAAAUUGCAGUUCUCGUAUUAGAUUCUGAUAGAUAUGGAGCAAGAAAACCCCCGAACAAGGUUUGUAUUACAGCUACAACGACCAUAAGAUAAGUAAUACAGGACCCAAGUGACAUAAUUAGUAUGGAUGUAUCGAUCAGUGACUUUAGCUUUGGGAAAGUUUUUUCAGCAAUCGAAUAGUAUGUUACAGGCAUCAUUGUACCUGUUGGAUCUUCAUUAAGUGAUAUUUCGGAAAGAAGAAUGCAUGCAAGCGUUGAAAACAUGCCUGAUAUUAUUGUCAUAAAGAUUCCUUGUAAAAGUCCAUUUUUACUGUAUGCCCAAGGUAAUCCAAGAAUUCCGACUCCCAUUGUUGUGUUUACCAAAGCAAAAAAUGAAGAAGUCAUCGACCCCUUUUUAUACCUUUUUUCAAUAAAAUUUUCCAUCCCAAUUAAGACCUGCUCUGAUAAUCGGGAUAUAAAGCUCUCCUUUGAGCUUUUCCUAAUUGUAGAUCUGGAAGGAAGUAAGCUUUUUU
rnacentral:antisense_RNA from 1 species